UACGUAGGGUGCAAGCGUUAAUCGGAAUUACUGGGCGUAAAGCGUGCGCAGGCGGUUUGUUAAGUCCGCUGUGAAAUCCCCGAGCUCAACUUGGGAAUUGCAGUGGAUACUGGCAAGCUGGAGUAUGGUAGAGGAAGGUGGAAUUCCCGGUGUAGCAGUGAAAUGCGUAGAGAUCCGGAGGAACACCAAAGGCGAAGGCAGUGUCCUGGGGAGUACCUGACGCUCAGGUGCGAAAGCCAGGGGAGCGAACGGG
rnacentral:rRNA from 1 species